ensembl:lncRNA
ACGGAAGUGCUGGGUGCUCCCUCGCAUCUGGGUUGGCUUUGAGAAGAGGAUUUAACUGAAAAGAAUGACCUUUGCUGUGGGUACUUGAGCUGCUGUGGCAGUAAUUCAGAGGCUCUAAGAGAUGGCUGGCCAGAAGUCCUGCCCCACGGCGAGGGAUGAACAGGCUGUCCUCCUGGCUUCUCUGAGACGGCCCCGGGUCUGGGGAAGGCCUGUGCUCCAGCGUGUUUGGGACUGGUCCCCAUGGACAGAAACACUGACGGUCCCUCAGGAACUGAGAGCAGGUGCCCCUUUGAAGAGGAGCGGCUCCUUCCUUCCUCCCUCAGUCUCUUCCCUGGAUGCCCACAUCACUCCUUGGCUGGCAGACACUCAGCUUGCAGGGAGCUGCUCUCCAUGUGGGGCACAGGUUUGGGGGCCCUCUGUGCACACUGUGCCCUCCAGCAUGCUUUUCUGCUCACUCCUCUGUGCCCCCAGGAAGGAGAGUGGGGGCAGAGAAGAAGAGCUGAAGGGAGGAGAGGCCCUUGUGAACGCUUCGCACGGCAGAGCAAGGGAGGCCUGGCCCCAGCUCCCACUCUGGCCUCCCGGCCAGGUUCCCAAACGCAGGCUCGGGCAGCUCCCUUUUCUGACCUUUUUUGAGGAGGUAUUUAGUCUAACAGACAGGUUCAAAUCCCAGCCUCACUGCUUCCUCGUGAUGCUGGACAAGCAUGUUCUCCUUUCUGAGUCUUUAUUUACUCGUCUGGAAAAUGGGGCUGUCCUGCGAGCUGAAGGAGAUGAUCCACAUUAAGGGUGUACCCAUGCCUUUUGCAAAGGGCCCAACAAACGGUCACUGUCCUUCCUCCACCUGAAGCCUCUUACUGUCAGCCGCUCUUCUAGACGGAGAGCCAGCGGGCACAAGACUAGUCCUCACUCUUCUGCAAUUGACACUCUAGUGAGAUUCAUUAUCAGUCCAUGUGAUCAAAAGCCGCUGAUUUACUCAUAAGUUCUGGGGUUGAAUACAAGACCCCGGAUGUAGAAAAGCAGUGAAAUAAGUGGAAAGUGCAAGGGACGUCUAUUCAGAUCCUCUGGGUGCCGGAGCCAACUGGUUGCAGGUGGCAGCUCAGGUGCACUCAGGUGCCUUAUCUCAGGGAUGCUCAGGGCCAAUGCUCAGGGUCCAGAUUCCUCCUAGGAGCCACAUGGCAGGGCCUCCAGGAGAAAGAGGGUCAAGUUCAGGGUGACCCAUCCCCUGGCCCUAUCAGGAGCUGACAUCACUUUAGGGUUCCCUGCCAAAAUACAACUACAUUUUUCUUUUUUUUUUUAAAGAUUGUCACCUGAGCUAACAACUGUUGCCAAUCUUUUUUAUUUGUCCUGCUUUUUCUCCCCAAAUCCACCCAGUACAUAGUUGCAUAUUUUACUUGUCCUUCUAGUUGUGGCUUGUGGGACGCCGCCUCAGUGUGGCCUGAUGAGCGGUGCCAUGUCCACACCCAGGAUCCGAACCGGUGAAAGCAGUUUGCGCCACCGAAGCAGAGUGUGUGAACUUAACCACUCGGCCAUGGGGCUGACCCCUGCAGUUUUCUUGAUUUCUCCACAUCUCCCUGGGUCCUCGGCUUCCUCUGAGGUGGGCUUUGUUUUUCCAGCUGUCUUUGGUGGGACUCAAACUCAAGCCCCAUGCCACAGGAAGGAGGGUGGCGAGUGGUCAUUCGUCCAAUAGGGAGGGUCCUCUCUGGCAGAGCUCCCAGGCCAGGGCGCCUCCUAGGAAGCUGGUCCCACCAACUGCUGGACACCUUUGGCUGGUCUGUCUUGUGGCCAGGGUGGUAAGGGAGGGUCAAGAAUCAAGACUGGGAUUUGUGUAAAAAGGCCUGACCUGUGGCUCCUUCCUCAGCAGGGGUGCCGGCCUGCCAAGACCUCCAGCCACGUGUUCACAUGGGCAGGUGCUGUAUAAAUCUUUGCACAAGUGAGAUAUUUAACCACAGUCGGCUAAGCCCACCGUCUCUGUGCAGUCUGUCUUCCCUUCUGUGACACUCCUCCGGGUGUGGGGGGUGGAGUGGCCACGCGCGUUGGAGGAUGGAUGGGUGCUGUGGGGAGGUGAGCUGGGCUAGGCUUCCUUUGGGCUGAAUGGGCUGUACUUACGUGGCUCAUAGGUGCUUCCUAUGGCAUAUAGGUGUCUAGUGCACAGGUGUACAGGUAAGUUGUUUCUAGUCACCCCAGUGUGGGAUUGGCUUCCAGGAAUCCUCCUUCCUCCUGGGGCUGACUCACCACCUGGCAUCAGGACACUGAGGUUCAGGGCUAGGGGUGGGGUCCUGCAGUUCUAGGUGGCAUUUGGUUCAUGGAGAAGAAGCAGAGUUGAAAUGCAUGUAGUCUGGCUGGUAAAAGUAUGUGAAUUUGCCGACGGUCUGCCUGCUCUUUCCCACACCCAAGGUCCUGGGAAAUCGGGAGGCCACAGCUCACUGCAGUGGGACCGAGCGCACCUCUCUCAGUGGCUCCCUUCCCACCUCUGCAGACAUGGCUGCUCCAGGGGCUCUGCCGACCUUGAAUGGCUUAACUGUCAUCCUAGGAUUUGCUUCUGAGACUGGGGGGUGUGUGUAUGAAGGGAAUGCCGCAAAGUAGAGAAUCUCCUGGUCUUUCUCUGCUUUGAAAAUGCAGAUUUUUCUCGCACACGGAGCUCUCCUGCUCACCGUGUUGGGUUAUUUUCAAUGUCAUAGUGGAGAUGAGUUUGACAGUGGAGCCAGACUUCAAAACCACUUGCCACUUCUUAACCGGGACCUGGGGCAAGUCCCCUAGCUCUGGGAUCCUCAGUUUCCCUGCCUGUGGGCCGAGAACAGUCCUAACACCCAUGUCAUAAAGGUGUUGGAGGGUUGGCGGGAGACGGCAGGUGCAGCACUUAACCCAGGCCUGGCGCCUGAAAACUGCUCAGCACGUGUUAGCUAUUUUUCUUAACGUUACUGCGCUAGUAUUUUUACUAAUAUUAUUCACAGCCCCCCUGCGAGGAGACAUCGAGCACAUUAGCCCUCGUGCAUGUGGGAAGGCAGGAGAGAGGGAGCAGUUGAAGACAGGAGGUGUCUUGGUCAC